rnacentral:rRNA from 1 species
AUUGAACGCUGGCGGCAUGCCUUACACAUGCAAGUCGAACGGCAGCACGGGAGCAAUCCUGGUGGCGAGUGGCGAACGGGUGAGUAAUAUAUCGGAACGUGCCCAGUAGUGGGGGAUAGCCCGGCGAAAGCCGGAUUAAUACCGCAUGAGACCUGAGAGUGAAAGCGGGGGAUCGCAAGACCUCGCGCUAUUGGAGCGGCCGAUAUCAGAUUAGCUAGUUGGUGGGGUAAAGGCCUACCAAGGCAACGAUCUGUAGUUGGUCUGAGAGGACGACCAGCCACACUGGGACUGAGACACGGCCCAGACUCCUACGGGAGGCAGCAGUGGGGAAUUUUGGACAAUGGGCGCAAGCCUGAUCCAGCAAUGCCGCGUGCAGGAAGAAGGCCUUCGGGUUGUAAACUGCUUUUGUCAGGGAAGAAAUCCUCUGGGUUAAUACCUCGGGGGGAUGACGGUACCUGAAGAAUAAGCACCGGCUAACUACGUGCCAGCAGCCGCCGUAACAC